rnacentral:rRNA from 1 species
AUGGCGUCUAGUGAGGGAAAUUACCACCGUAGAGGUCCUUACUUUGAUGGUACUAAUUUUGCUAGUUGGAAGCAUAAGAUGAAAAUGCAUAUUCUUGGACAUAACCCCGCCGUUUGGGCUAUUGUGUGUAUUGGCUUGCAUGGUGGAUUCUUUGAUGGGAGAGAACCAAAUUGUGAAGCUACCGCGGAAGAGUUGAAGAUGCUGCAAUACAAUGCUCAAGCUUGUGAUAUUCUCUUCAACGGAUUGUGCCCCGAAGAAUUCAACAAAAUCUGCCGUCUUGAGAAUGCAAAGGAAAUUUGGGAUACUUUAAUUGAUAUGCACGAAGGUACCGACUCUGUCAAGGAAUCCAAAUUGGAUGUGCUUCAAAGUCAAUUUGACAAGUUUAAAAUGAAGGAUGGUGAAGGUGUCGCUAAAAUGUACUCUAGGCUUGCUCUCAUUACAAAUGAGAUUGUCGGCUUAGGAAGUAAAGAGAUGACCGAUAGAUUCAUCAUCAAGAAGAUCUUAAUAGCCUUGGAUGGAAAAUAUGAUACCGUGUGCACAUUGACCCAAAUGAUGCCUAACUACAAAGAUCUCAAGCCAACGGAAGUCAUUGGAAGAAUUGUCGCUCAUGAGAUGUCACUCAAGGAUAUGGAAGAGCUCCACAACAAGUCAAGUGGUGCCUACAAAGCCUCAUGUGAUUCCCCCACAUCAUCAAAUGAGAAGCAAACCUUCAAUCAAGAAUUGAGCCUAAUGGUGAAGAACUUCAACAAGUUCUACAAGAAUAGAAGCAAGGAAAGAAGUUCUAAGUCAAGGUCCUACAAUGACAAAAGAUCUUCCAGUCGUGAGCGUAACUACUACAAUUGUGGAAGACCCCGACACUAUUCAAAUGAGUGUACGGCUCCUUACAAAAGAAGAGAAGAUUCUCCCAAAAGAAGAAGUAGGAGAGAAGAAUCACCACCAAGAGAGAGAAGGAGUAGAGAUGAUCGUUAUGAACGAAGAUCCUCUCGGAGAAGCAAGGAUUCAGAGAGGAAGGACAAAUCAUCAAAGAGCUACACAACAUGA